GUGGGGAAUCUUGCGCAAUGGGCGAAAGCCUGACGCAGCCAUGCCGCGUGAAUGAUGAAGGUCUUAGGAUUGUAAAAUUCUUUCACCGGGGACGAUAAUGACGGUACCCGGAGAAGAAGCUCCGGCUAACUUCGUGCCAGCAGCCGCGGUAAUACGAAGGGGGCUAGCGUUGCUCGGAAUUACUGGGCGUAAAGGGCGCGUAGGCGGACAGCUUAGUCAGAGGUGAAAGCCCAGGGCUCAACCUUGGAAUUGGCUUUGAUACUGGCUGUCUUGAGUUUGGGAGAAGUGAGUUGAACUCCGAGUGUAGAGGUGAAAUUCGUAGAUAUUCGGAAGAACACCAGUGGCGAAGGCGACUCACUGGCCCAAUACUGACGCUGAGGCGCGAAAGCGUGGGGAGCAAACAGGAUUAGAAACCCGAGUAGUCC
rnacentral:rRNA from 1 species